AUUGAACGCUGGCGGCAGGCCUAACACAUGCAAGUCGAACGAGUGGCGGACGGGUGAGUAAUGUCUGGGAAACUGCCUGAUGGAGGGGGAUAACUACUGGAAACGGUAGCUAAUCCCGCAUACCAUCAGAUGUGCCCAGAUGGGAUUAGCUUGUUUGUGGGGUAACGGCUCACCAAGGCGACGAUCCCUAGCUGGUCUGAGAGGAUGUCCAGCCAAACUGGAACUGAGACACGGUACAGACUCCGACGGGAGGCAGCAGUGGGGAAGAUUGGACAAUGGGCGAAAGCCUGAUCCAGCCAUGCCGCGUGUGUGAAGACGGUCUUCGGAUUGUAAAGCACUUUAAGUUGGGAGGCGUUAACAACAGAAUAAGCACCGGCUAACUUCGUGCCAGCAGCCGCGGUAAUUC
rnacentral:rRNA from 1 species